rnacentral:lncRNA from 1 species
AAUUACACCACUCCAGGCCCUUUUGUUUUCCACGUAAUUAAUAUUGCCAAUAAUUAGGAAGUUCCGGGUCGAGUCCGAUACCGAUACCAAUAGUAUAAUCACCUGUUACCUAUCUUAUCUGUACGUUCCGCAUCUGACAGGCGCACCACCAAACGGUGUAUUCAGGAUUAAUAUGCUAUAUACACGGGUCAUAAUCACAGGGUUGACACUACUAAAUUGUCAAAUUGUUACCUAUUGUAGUAUUUUAAUCCGUAAGACUUUCUAAGAUAACAAUACGAAUACUAAAAAUCUGGACUAAAAAUAAGUUUCAGCUUGUUAGCGGGCAUGACGUAAAACAGCGAAUCAAAGAAUUCAACUUUAUUUAUAACUUAUAUAGGACAAUGCUGUUGAUUAAAAAAUACUCCAUUCCAGGACCUUUUGUUUUCCAAAUAAUUAAUAUUACCAAUAAUUGAUAAGUUCCAGUUCGACGGGUUCAAACAGAAAGAUUUGAAAGCAGAGAAAAUUGUGUAUCUUAUAAUCGGCAUGACUUUAUCAGAUGACAGUACUAAUACUAAAAUAAGGCUUGCGCAUAGUUAUAUACUUUAAUUCAGUCACGGACCCGCGAU